AAACCAGCACCUCAAGUGGUCAGGAUGAUUAUUGGGCCUAAAGCAUCCGUAGCCGGCUCUGUAAGUUUUCGGUUAAAUCUGUAUGCUCAACAUACAGGCUGCCGGGAAUACUGCAGAACUAGGGAGUGGGAGAGGUAGACGGUACUCGGGAGGAAGUGGUAAAAUGCUUUGAUCUCUCGAUGACCACCUGUGGCGAAGGCGGUCUACCAGAACACGUCCGACGGUGAGGGAUGAAAGCUGGGGGAGCAAACCGGAUUAGAAACCCCGGUAGUCC
rnacentral:rRNA from 1 species